rnacentral:rRNA from 1 species
UACGAAGGGGGCUAGCGUUGCUCGGAAUCACUGGGCGUAAAGGGGGCGUAGGCGGUUCUUUAAGUCAGGGGUGAAAUCCUGGAGCUCAACUCCAGAACUGCCUUUGAUACUGAGGAUCUUGAGUACGGGAGAGGUGAGUGGAACUGCGAGUGUAGAGGUGAAAUUCGUAGAUAUUCGCAAGAACACCAGUGGCGAAGGCGGCUCACUGGCCCGUAACUGACGCUGAGGCACGAAAGCGUGGGGAGCAAACAGG